UGAGUGACUCAUCAUGGCUAUCAGGGCUCUGCAUACCCCUGGAAACCAGGUCAGAGAGUCAGAGUGUAAACACUGCAGGCCCUGGGUGCAGGGGACAGACCUGCACACGCUGAUGUCCCAGAGCUACAGGGAGGCUUUGCUCUGGCAGGAGCUGGCACUCUUUGUCCUGUUCCACACGAUGGCCGGCCGUGGGGCUCAGCAGUUCCAUCCUUGGCGGCCUCCUCACCCUGCUUGUCUACACCGACUGCCAGUGGUACCAGCAACAGUCCCAUGAUGCAACUGUCAUCCACCCUGUCUCUCCUGCCGCUCUCAACAGCAGCAUCACUAACCAUAUAAACACACCGGACAAGUACAACUCGGUGAAGGCCAUCACAGGAAGUAAUCAGCAGUGACAGCUUCAACCAGGUGGGCCACAAAGGCAGGUGACGCUGGAGCUGCCAGCAAGGCUCGGUGUGGUGGUGAUGGCGAUGGCACUGGGCAUUGGAAUGGGGAGCCUUCCUGUGCUUCUUCAUGUGUGCAGGGAUAUAACACUUUUUCUACAGUGCUCUAAACCGAGUAAAGCUUUAAAGGGCACAUGAAGCCAUGUCCAACAGAGUAGCUGGUGUUCACUUAGUGCCCACCCAGGAGGGUGCAGACUCCCAGAAAAGCAUCCGAUCUCCACCAUGAUACACCAACACCAGAGAUUCCACCUGCCCUGAACCUGCCCAUUGAUCCACUGAGACCCUUUGCUGUGGUCUGGGAAGUGACUGUCAUCACCGUGAGGUGAACACAGAGAACAGAGGACAGACAAUGAGAGAUGCAACCAUGUUCUGCAGCCUUCAUUGAAACCGGCCUUACUCUGACAUUCGAUGGAGCUCCUUGCUGUAAGGAUUUGAUCCUUAAUUACGUCAUCAGCCUUCGCCAGCUUCCCAGCCUAAAAACAGGGUGAGCCCUUUGUGGGCUCUCUGUCCCCUCUCCUCUCCGCUCCU